CUCCUCCUCCCGGCCGGCGGCUGCCCCCACCGCCAGCGCCGGGGCUCAAGGAGGCGCUCGCAGAGGCGCUCUGGCGCGCCAGUGCAGUCGCCGGCGCAGCGUGCAGCAGCAGCAGCAGCAACGGUGCCCAUGGCGUCGGCGUCGUCGGUUGCCACCACGACCACGAGCCAGCGCACGCCGCCCAACUGCGCGCGCUGCCGGAACCACGGCUACAAGAUCCCGCUGAAGGGCCACAAGCGCUACUGCAAGUACCGCUACCACACGUGCGACAAGUGCCUGCUGACGGCCGAGCGCCAGCGCGUCAUGGCGAUGCAGACGGCGCUGCGGCGCGCCCAGGCGCAGGACGAGGCCAUGGGCCUCAAGAAGCCGCCGUCGCCGUCGCCGCCGCCCCCGCCGCCGCCCCCGCCGCUCGCCGCGGGCACCGUGCCCCCCGCCGAAAUGGGCGCCGCCGCCGCCAUCGUGGUGCCCGGAGAGGAACACUUGCGUCCCGUGGCGGCGGUGCCUCCGCGCCACCUGGCCGACGGCAGCUGCGACUCGUCGUGUUCGCCGCCGCCGCCCGGAGGACGCCGCGGAGAGUCGCCGUCGCAGCACCCCCUGCCGCUGAUGCACCACCAGACGCCGUCCGAUGGAUCAAGACCAACGGAAGGGAGUAGAACUUACGGUGAAAACACGGAGGUUCUUCGGGAAUCAAUCCAGGCUAUUCUGGACACAUUCCGGUUCCCAGUGGAGACGUUACCUCUCAUCUACGUUGUUCUCAAGGACGCCAAGUCCGACGUCAAAGAAGCGUACAACCGCAUUCUGGAAGGCCCGUCGAACGCUAGCGUCUUGGAAGUGUGGACGUUGUUUGUUAUUAUCUGUCGCGGGAAAAUAUGUUUUGGUUUUUAUGAAAACGUUCGGGAUACUAUAACGUCAGUCUUAAUCAGGGGCAAAGGAUGAGAUGGAUUUUACUGAUAGCAGAUGUAACUGAUUCAUGUAGACUAUUGACAUUGCUUAUUUGUCUCCAAGAGAAAAAGAGGGAAACGAUAAAGCGAAUUAGGACUCGUGCAAGUGUGCGUACGGUCUCAGUAAGCGCCAGCAGAAAAUAUGUUUGCAAUUACAGGACCGGCAUGUAUAGGAAACAGCAAGAGAUAUGGCAGCAGUUUUGUUGUGUAGUGAGCCCCUCUGGUUGAGUUAGGUUUUGUGUAGUUGGUGUUACUCACUCAAAGGUAACUUAAAAGGAAGUCGGUAAAUAGAAUGACCAUGUUGUGUCAGAGGAACCAUCAAAUAUCAGAAAAGUUUUAGACUUUGAGUAAAUGCAAAUGGUGAGAAUUUUCUGUUGUAAACAUUUUAACGAAUAUCACUUUCUUACUCAGGUACCACAGCGCUAGGAGAGAGAAAACUACGUUGUUUUCCUUAAUUUAGAAAUCGAAUUAUGGAUUUUUUUUGUAAAUAAGCAGUACAUAUACAUAUUUACGUGCUUGAAUGAGGAGCAUAACUUACAGUAAGACAACGUCAUAACGACAACUUUUCCAUCCACGAGAAUAUCUAUAAAGUAAUAGUAUUUGAUUGAGUUGAUUACGGAAAUAAUAGCUUGAAAUUACAAAGCAUGAAUUCGCAGUCAUGGAACGUAGGCAAAAAUAUGGCGCUAGAGAGAGAGAAAAAAUGAAUUUCACAUUUUAAAGCUUAAUAAUACUAUUUCGUCUUAAAAAAUGUACUUUUCAUCAGUUAAACAGCGUGAGCAGCAUAGAAAAAUUCAUAGAUAGUAAUUACUGAAAAAAAUUCAAAUAUACAAAUGUGUAUAUUAAAAUACAUGUAUGCAACUUGCAGAACUCAAAACAUCGAACAGUAAGAAGACAAAAAGAAAGGAAACAAUAUUACGAAUUUCAAAAGGAGAUUUUUCAUGCCUCAUUUGCUUCUAAAUUUUCACCUGUAUCCCAGAACGUAUAAUUGUUGUUACAGGCAAAUACUGACACGCACAGAAGAGUGUUGUUGAAUAAAUUUUAGUUUACGUGUGAAAGUUUGUUGUUGACAGCAGGAAAUAAUUUUGAGAAGAUUGUAUUAGCGCAACGCCUAUGCACUGUGAAAAUAAUAUGACGUACGAGAGACAACCAACGAAGCAAGAAAACGUUUCAUGGGAGUACUCCACUACAGGAUGUGAGCAUAUAAAGGAACAUGUAAGAAGAGAACAUUGUGUGUGUACAAAUGAUUCAACACCGUUUUGUUAUGAAAUAUGACAAACAGUAUUUACAGAAUAAUGAAAUGUUAUACCUAAUGUUCACGUGUAUGGAAAUGAAAGUGGUGCUGUUAGUGGACUAGAUGCAGUGGAUUUGACAAUAACGAGAAAGAAAAAAAUUCAGUAAUUAGAGUGAGAGAUACAGAUUUCUUAGAAUUGGCAAAAAAUAAGCGCUAAAGGCUAAUGAGCUGAAAGUCUUAUACAGUGAACGUUAUUAGGUUUACAAAGCUGAUUUAAUAAACUGUUUUAUAUUGACUAUUUCCUAGUGUUCUUACAUAACUAUACACAAAUAUUUGUAUUGUCUAUACAAGGAGAUCCACUGCGGGUGUCAGUUAGAAUCUUUUUAUACUGCCGAAGAGUGAAAAGUGUUUUUAUACUGGCGAAGAGUGAAGAAAAAUUUCGAUGAUUUAGUUUGAAAGUUAUUGCUUCAGGUCAUGAAGAGUUAGAUGACUUUUUCUUGAUAACAAAUGUCGGCCAAAUGACAGUGGCUUUAAGGAAGUGAAUGAAGAAAAAGUUAACGUUUUAAGUGAGCGGUACUUUCGACAGAUUUCUUAAAACAGCCAGAAAAUAAGAGUUAAAGACAUAAUAAGCUGAAAAAAGUAAACAUGAAACGUUUUCAGGUUAACAGAAGUGAUUUAGUGAACUGUUUUAAAAGCAGUGUUUGCUAUUUUUUCAUUUUUUUCUAUGAUGCUACACUCAUGGAAAGUAUAUAUAAGAGGAGAGCUACGGUACAUGGAAGGUGUGGAUUUAUAGACUAGAAAAGACGUAAGUUUUGUUGGACUGUGGUGAAAAAAAAAGCGACGAUGUCAAUGACAGUUAUGUUUGAGAUGUUUUGGAAGAAGAAUAAAAAAAAUAGCAAAUUUUGCAAGAUAAUGAAAAAGGUAAAGAUAUUUUUGACAGUGGAAAUACAAAAAAUAUUGAAUGUCGAGUGGGAAAAAGGUCUUAUACAGGGUGAGUCAAAAAGGACGUUACAACUUUGGAAUGAUAUAGAGAUUUAUUGAGGUAAGUUAAAGAAUCGGUAAUGUGUCAUUCUGAAGCAAACAACCUCAUGUUUGAUUCACAUAAUCCAUCAGUCCCCCGGUCCGCCACCAGAAGCGCCAGUGUGGUACACACUUAAAACUGGUACUUUCACUGGUGCAGAGCGUACUCGCUGUGUAUUUUGUUUUCAUGAUAAGUAUUCUGCAAAAAAACUGUUCGGCUUAAUUUCGCACUGAAUACUCUAGAGAACCUCCAAGGAGAGAUACAUUUCACUCUUUUCACAAGUACUCUGUUGUGUUUACUUCCCUUAGCACAUUGAAAGUGUGCGGCCAUUUCUUCUUCAUCGAGAAAACUGUCACUGGUAUUGUGUACCCAGAUAUGCUUGAAAACUUCUUAAUUCCACAUAUCGAUGACGAUGACCGCGUUAGAGAGGUUUACUACCAGCAUGACGGUGCACCGUCUCAUUUCUUCACGGAAGUAGUUCGAGGUUUCCUAGAUAAACGAUUCAUAGAUCGGUGGAAUGGUCCUGAAGGGCCAGUCGCAUGGUCACCUCGCUCCCCAGACUUGACGUAACUGGAUUUCUUUCUCUGAGGUUUCAUUAUAGAUCGAGUGUAUGUUUAUCCCCUACCAAACAAUGCAGACGACCUGAAAGAUCGAAUCUACGCUGCCGUUGUGCAAGUCACGCCGGAUUUACUGCAACGAAUGGGGGAAUAAACUGGGUACCGGUGGGAUGUUUGCCGCAUCAGAAAUGGUAGACACAUCCAACCAGAAUGACUCUUGACAGUAUUAUGUGAAACUAGAGGUUGUUUGCUAAAAAAUGACAAUUCUAUCGAUUGUGUAAAUUACUUCAAUAAAUUUCUACACUGAUAAGCCAGAAAAUUAUGCCUACCGCCCACCGCGGCGCUGGUGGCGUUGCGGUCACGUGACGCGUAGCAAAAAUAUGUAAGAGAAACAGACCGGGCGAGGGAACACCCUAGCGAAGAUGUGAGCUGAAACUGGAGAAACCCAUUGAGAUAAACGACUAUGACAAAGGGCAGAGCCUGUGAACGAGUAUCCCGAAAACGGAGAAGCUGGGCGAAUGUUCACGUGCUACUGUCGUGAGCAUCUACGAAAAGAGGUAGAAGGACAGUGUACCGCUAGGCGCUAAAUGGUUGGACGUCCAAGACUCUUCAUUGAACGUGGUGUUAGGAGAUUUGUCUGCUCUGUGAAGUAGGACAGAUGGUGAUCUGUGGCAUCUCUGCCGGAAGAGCACAAUGCUGGGGAACGCACAAGUGUUUCGGAACACACCGUUCAUUGUACAUUGUAGAACAUGAACCUCCGUCAAUUACGACAGCAGUUGGCACGGGACCAUCGGUAUUUUACCUUAGAUCAAUGUAAACGUAGCGGCUCUUCGAGCGAAUCAUAUUUUUGCCACGCUAUGUCGAUAGUCGUCUCCACAAAUGCCGUCAUCGAGGUGAACGGCGUCUCGAAACCUACAGCGCGCCAUGGAUGUAUUAUGGUCUCAGAGACAUUCUCCUGCAAUUGCACCGGACCUGCUACAAAAAUCGAAGACACGCUGACAGCUGGGAAAAAUCUGCAUCACUUCUUGGUCGAUGUCUUCCCCGCUGACGAUGUGACCUUUCUGCACUAUAAUUGUCCAUUCUCGGAGCCAGACUCGUGCUACAGUGCUAUAGUGCGCCGCGCCGUAAAACGGAACAAGCACUAUAGUGAACUCACGUUGAUGUCUCGGCGACGAAAUUCACCUGAUGUAAGUAAAACCUGUGGAACCCAUCUGGGUUGCUGUCGGAAGCAAUCACCGCGUAUGCAAAUCAGCAUCCCGUUACUUACACAAAUUACAUGAUCUGUGCGUAGAAAUCUACUGCCACAAACCUCCAAUAAGCUACCUACAAACUAUCCCUGACACUCAGAAUCAGUGAUGUACGGGGGCUAUUCGGAAAGUAAGAAACGAUAGGUCGCGAAAUGAAAACCACAGUGAAAAUCAAAACUGUUUUAUUUGCAACGGUUAGCUACAUCUUCCAGCUACUUCUCUACACAGUCGCCGCUCAGACUUAAACAUCUGUACCAACUUUUCAAUUCUCUCAUUAUAGAAGACAACUACCAGUGGUUUUCGACAAUUUUCUACUCUGGACUGCAGCUCGUUGUCUGUGUCAAAAUAUUGCCUUCAUAGCCAGUGGAACAUUUGAGCAGAGAUGAAGCUCAGGGAUAACGAAUUAUGGGCUGUAUUGUGGGUGACCAAACACUUCCCAUCGAAAACGCUGCAGGAGCACCUUCAUUGUCCCUGCAGAGUGCGGACGAGAAUUGACGUGUAGAUCGAACCGCAUGACAGUUAUGUUAUGUGGAUUGUAUAGCUCCAGGCGAAAUGUUUCUCCAGGCCCUCAUACUUGGCGGAAUACGCUAAUUUCUAGCCAUCUUUACGUUAUCACUAUGAGCUUAGAACUGAAAAGAGAGACAUGAUGCGAUUGACGGGCGUACUAUACACAGUGCCCAAAGCAUCUGUGCAAAGCUUCAUCAGAUUUUCACUGUAUUUUCCAUUUCGCGACCGAUCGAUCCUUACUUUCCGAAUAACCCUCGUAUUUCGUUCGAAGGCGGACACACAAGCUAUUAAGCAGGUGGUCAUAAUGUUGUGGUUCAUCAGUGUGUUUUGCUCCAAAAUUGUAUAGUCCUUUUUUUUACUCACCCUGCAAAAUACGCCAAACAUGAAGAAGAGGAACCUGAGGCAUUGUUUCAGCAGAUGUGUACAGUGACAGAGAGUUGAACACUGGACGGAUCGUGUUUAUGGACCACCACAGUGCUGCGCUGAGAGGGGAGUAGCGUGCAGUCCGCGAAGCUGAGCAAACACGUGGACAGAGCAGGAGGACAGCCGCACUCGCCUUGUAAGUCCGGCUCAAUCCCCAGUAGCAGCAGAAGCAGAAGCCGGAGCGUCCGACACACCGCGUCGCCCCGCAACAAAACAGGGACGCCGCGCGGCCACUGUGCGGCGAUGCAUAAUGAAGGCGCGCGACCGCUGCCGCAUCCGAAAUAUAUGUGUUACGCGCCGCGCCGGCAAACGGAAUGAGUGAUGGCAGCCACAUCUGGGGACCGCCGGCGCCUGAAUAAUUGCGGGCACCCGCGGGCCUCGCGCUGACUUGUUGCACGGCGCGGUGCGGCGCCGCGCCCAGAUUGCAAUUGCGCCGGGGGAGCCGCCGGCUGCGAAGCCCCGGUCACUGCCCGGCCGCCACCAUACCGGCUCCGCAGAAGUGGAACGACGAUCGCCCACGUGGCGAGACGUCGAGAUGCAGAGGACAGAGAAGAUGGAGCAUGCUGGAGCUAGACGAAAUGCCAUCUCGUCUCCCAACAAGUUAUUCAAACUUUGCUACUAUGAAAGGUACGAGAUUCAGAGUUUGUAGCAGGUCACACGGAAUCCGAUCCGAUCAGAAUAUCUUCAUAUACAGAGUGAAUCAGCUGCACCUACCGAGAGGUUUUAUGCAACCCGCAACACCUUCAAAAAACCACGCGCGAGACUUUCGUAUUCUCUCGCUCACUAUUAUUAGCGCAAAGAAAAAGGACUCCACAGAUAACCGCAAUUAAAAUACGAGGGAUAUUUCAUAAAUAAUGCACAGGUUGGCACUGCAGUGGACUGUUUGAAUGGAACAACAAUAAAAAUUGCAUCAAAUAUGGUUGGUAGCUUGAAGAAAAAGCAUGUGUUUUUGAUUUUUCACUAUGUACUUUAACAUAAAAUUGGUGAGAGGUAGAACUGGACCCUGCGGGGGUCUCAGGUACUGUGACUGUUGUCAGACCAGAGAUCGUACAUCAAGGUUGAAACUUUACACAGAAAAAAAUCCGAAAAAUCUUCAAAUAUUUGUGAAUUCCUAGGAGACCAAACUGCUGAGGUCAUCGGUCCCUAGACUUACACACUACUUAAAUUAACUUAUGCUAAGAACAACACACACACCCACGCCCGAAGAAGGACUCUAACCUCCGGCGGGACGGGCCGCCCAAUCUGUGACAUGGCGUCUCAAACCGCGCGGCUCAAAAAUCCGACAGAUAUACACAGUGCAGUAAGUGAAGUAUGUGGUCAGUUUACAGUGGACCAUAGUACCGUUGCACGUUCAGUUAAUCGUUUUCGUGGUGGUCGUAUGGGCAUAGACGAUAAUCCAAGACCAGAAAUCCAAAAAGGUCAGUAGAUGAAUGAAGUGUGAAGCUUGUGGCAGAUACUCUUGAAGGUCGCAGUGCGACUUGUGAGGAGCUCUCUGAAGCCACGGGAAUUUCCCCAACAUCAGUAUUCCGUGUUCUCACAAAUUAUUUGAAGAAGAUAAAAAUUUUCACGAGAUAUGUUUGACUGCUGAUGUGAAGCGGAAACGCAUGGGCGUUGCAACCUUGUUAGAACAACUAUUCGACGGUGGAGGUCAGGGAUUCUUAUGUCGAAUUGCUGCUAUUGAUGAAACGUGGUUUAGAGGCUUUGAACGAGAGUGGAAAUCGUAGUCCUUUGAGUGAAGAGCUUCAGGUUUUUCACGUACAGGAAGACUUUCCAUGUGCUCAGAUAAAGCUAAUUUUUGUUUUCUGAUCGCCCAGUAAUCAUCACGACAGAUAAUGCCCCAUGGGAAACAAGUAUCACAGCAGUGUAUUAUCGUAACUGCAUGCAAAAUCUGCGCAGAAAAAUGCAUAACACCCGACCUCAGUUGUCGAGGCUGCGCCACUCGUUCUCCACGACAGUGCGCAACUUCACAUCGGCAAUGUUGUAGCCAAAAAACUGCGCGAAUGUGGAUGAGAAGUGUUGCCACACCCUCCCUACAGCCUGGAAUUAGUCCACUAGCCUUCGACUUGUUCCUGAAGUUGAAAAAAGUAAGCGUGGACGUCGUUACCUUUGUCUGGAAGAGCUUUCUGCCACCGUUACCCGAGCCAUUCGACACAUUAACGGAAGUGGUGUCUUGGAUGGCAUAAUAGAGCUUCUGAGACGUUAGGAUUCAGUCGUAGAGAAGCAGAGGGGCUGUACUGAAGGAGUGUAAAGAGAUAUUGAAAGAAAAAAAAACGUUCAAGUAAAAAAUAUAGUGUGCAUUAUUUAUGAAAUGUCCCUCCUACACACUAAUGUACUAGAGUUCUAUAAAAACAUAAAUGAAUUGCAGGACUGUAAUUAAAAUAUUAUAAUUAAAAUACUGUAAUAAAGUCUACUUCAUCAGCGUAACAUGUCUGAAAAUGAAGCACCAAAUCAAUGGCCCGAGUUUUUAGCAUUAUUUCCAGAUUAUGCCGUAUCGUUAACACGUUUUCACUUUCCAGACAUUGUAAGGCAGUAAUGGAAACCAAUGGCUGUCUUCUAAAACAGUUACUGUCCAGCACUUGCAGUGUUGGAGCAGCACAUUCUUUACUAUACUCGUGAUGUAAAGUGAGACUAUCGCUCACCCACGAUCCUUCUCAGAUUAAAGAAAAUUUUAUUGACGAAAAGCUCGUUCGUAAGGUCAAUCCUGUACGUUUUCCUUGAAUAAUUAGAAAGUUACAGCCUCCAGUGAAAGGACCCGCUCGUUUUCUCUGUAGGACUAUUAGGGCGCGUGUAGCGAGCGAGAGAAUAUGAAAAUCUUGUGUGUGGUAUUUAAAGGUGUUGCUGGUUGCAUAAAACCCAUAAUUAUAGGCAGCGGAGUCACGCUGUAUACUGCUCCUCAGAAUUGAUGGUCUCUACGUGAUUCUACAUGACAGUCGUCGAGGAUUUUACACCGGAAGUGAAACGUCAACAGCCCCUUACUUGAGGGUAACACGUGGCAAGAUCUGAGACGCUAGAGGGUUAAAAGAUAAAAGGAAGUGGAAAAUAAAGACGGAGCGUCCUGAGGCUAUACGAAACGUCAUUUGGCUCUCAACAGACGAUACAAAUUCAACAACAAUGAAAUAUGGGAGAUUAAGAAUUCUUGAGAGCUCACUCGAUUUCCAAGCAGGGUAGAAGAUCUUCAUAUGUUGCAAUUUAGAAUUUAUCAGUUUGUUUUCUACGUGAGAUUAUAUGACAUUCGUGUGGUUUUUUUAAGAUCUCUACUGCAGUCACUGCGACAAUCUGGUUAAACUGCCUUGCCUAAAAGCUACCAUCACUGUCCAAGUUAAUUUCAUAUGGAGUUACUGUGAUGUGGAUAAAUAAAUCAGGGCGUACAAAACUGAACAUCCUGUAGAAAAUAACUACACGAUACCAAGCAUCUACGUCUAAUACACUGCUGAGGACAGAAGAUGCCUCGAAGUAUGCAGUCUCAUCAUUUGAAAGUCUGUAUCAAAACUGACACAAAAAUUCCUGAAGUUAUGUCUGUGUGAAUUAUCAAGGGAAAUGACUUGGAAUAUAGCAAUGAGAAAGAAAAAAGAGUUAGAACAUAGAAUACGCAGCCUCGACUGUUUUGUCGUUAGUAACACUGGUAGGAGGAAAACUUCAGUACACUUAUAUUUUUGUAUGAAUCGUCAAAAAGACUGUACCCAGAAUCAUUAAACAAGAAUCAGAGAAAGCGGGCUUGAGUAAGAUAUAGUGCAGAAGCAAGGAAAGGAAACGACAACGCAAAGGAAAAGAAACCAAAAUUGUAGUUUACUAAAAUCACUAACGUACGAUAACUGGAGUGCACAAGGGAUGCAGGCAAUAGAGUUAAACUUAAGAGAUGGAUUCAGUAAUAAAAACGAAGAAACAGGAAAAGACUGUCGCUGUGUUAGGUAAUGGAAAUCGUGUGCAGGAUAGCCACUCAUCGACUAAAAAGUGUAAUAGAAAAAUUCAGUAUUAAUGAACUACGGAAACAGUGAAACAUCCUUCGGCUAUGGUUGCUGUUAUGAAGAGGAAACAACGAAUAAAGUGAACGGAAUCAGUGUUGAAGUUGUAGCUGCACAGAAUGAAAAUUAUUGUUGGCGGAAAAUGUAGUUUAGUAUUAACAAACAGGACAAAUACUUCGAAGUUAACGAGGAAGGAGAGAUCCACUAGGAGAGAAAGGGAAGAAAUAUCAGCAAUUUCGAUGUACAGUUUCAUAGAAUGCACGAAGGAAGAGAAGUGCUGAAAAUAUAUUAACGUGAAAGAGCUAAUAUUUACUCUGUUUGGUAUUACGGAAACAAGACUUCUGUUAAUUAGUUGUUUGCAGGAGAACGCUAUGUUACUUCCAUAAGAAGAAUGCAGAAAGUGCUGAAGCAGUCCUAUUAUAUUAUUGCAAAAAGAUGAAAAGAAGAAGGAUACUGGUGAAAUAAGAGUGAGGAAAUUUAAACUCGUGUAUCAUAAAAUGUUUGUAUGAAAGGAACGAAAAACUACACAAAAUUUCUGAUAGCGAGGAGUAAUUAAACUAGAAACAGAAAUAACCACAGAAAAUAAUAUUGCUAGGAAUAAAAGAAAAAGUAAUAUUUACAGAGGUGGAGAUGUUGACUAAAGUUGGAGCAAUGAAAAUUAAUAACAAAUGAGUCAGUAAACUGAUACCUUACCGCAAUAUGUAUUUUUGUUGACACUAUAAGUUCGGUAACUACAAGAUAAGACAAUCACCAACUUACAGCAGAAUCUCUGUGACAGCUACAGGAAGUUAGGGAGAGAAGAAGCCUAGGCAAGGCACGAAACCACCAGCGAAUGUACGAUGUAUCUUGAUAAUAAAUUGCGCCACUGAUUCUACCGACCUUUGCUGUGAAGUAUUAGCGGUGCACAAUAUACUGAGUAAAUAUGGUGAACAUAUAAACAGUUCGUUUUCGUGUAAGUGGUGACUGAAGAGUUGCCAUGAAUACGGGAAUAAAACUGAGAGCACGAACAAGAUUUCUAUCAAUUCCACAGUUAAGGAAUUAAGGAUACCUUUAAGUGACGACGCUAUUUUACUUGAAAAUUUAUUGAAUACAGUAGUCACAUACUUGAGGAACAGAUAGUGAGUACAUGAAGGAUUCGUCGUCAUGUAUGUUUUCUGUGCGUCUGGCUGUACAAUUCGUCCUGCCUCUCUAAAAGUUCCAGUGAAAAAGGGAUGUAUCCACAGAAUACGAAUGAUUUACUGUGCAGUCAGCGAGAUGGCGGUAGUCCGUGUACAAACUUCAGGUCAGCUUUCAAACUACACUCUGAUAUCGUUUGUUCAGAUAUUGCAUAGCAAAUGCCAACGACAGAACGACAGACGUGCUAAAAAGAAUGGGAACAUUCAUAAGCAGUUAAAUUAGGUUCUUGGAAAUUGAAAUUAAGAUCUACUUUGGUAACAGUAAUUAGUAACAGCGACAAAACUCGAGUAGAAAAAAAUAUCACACGUUGUUAAACAGUUAAUAAAAAUAUGUUGUUCUAGUACGUUCAACACGAAUACUUAAUUUUGAGGAAUCAAAUGUGUUCAUUUCUAAAGGAGUGGUUGAAUUUCAUCCAUUAUUUUAGAUUUCGUAAUAUUCAGAAAAGUUAUUUUAUUUUAUUAUUUUUACGUUGUGAUUUCUAACAGUGCGGUGCUAAAUGACAAUUACUAAGAUAAUCAAUAUCUAUGAGAUGAGGUAUUGUAUACUUUAUAUAUAAUCUCUGAAUAAUAUUAAGUAAAAACGAGGUAACUGACAAAGUAAUGUUAUAUAAAAUAAGAGAUCACUGCGGCGUUUCGAGAGGAGGUAAGUGGAUUGCAGUCUACCAGUCACCGAUUCAACUACAAAAGAGUUGUAGGUAAAAGUGUGAUAUAAUGAGUUUAAACGGUGUACAUCUUGUUUUGUGUAUAUAAACUUAGAUGACAGCUGUUAUACUAAAAGAAAGUAUAUGAAACGUUGACGCAACAUGACAAUGACGCUUACUAUAAGAAGUCGAAAAUGCAAGCACAGAGUUCAACGAAUAGUCCAGAAGACUUACGCUUAUAAUACGCACUCAAGUUACCGAAAUCGAAAUAGCGGUGGACCAAAGUUGUGCUUGUGUGGUGCUGCGCAGAUAUUAGACAGUAAUAAAAAACGUAUGAUGAGAAUUUUCCAGUUGUGAAAAAGGAAAAGUAUCAUUCAAUUCCAGUUGCUGGUAAAAGGUUGUAGCUAUUGCAGUAAAAAACAAAAGGCAUUCUGAUGAAAACGUUACAGACACUUACGUGUACAAGAGUGGAAGAAGACGACACGGAACUGCUAAAAAUCAGACAGAAUAACUCGAAAACUACAUGAAAAGUUAGUCUCUUGUGGAAGAUUUACUCAAAGUUUAUGUUGAAUGUUUUAUUACAGUAACGAUAGUGCUGUUCUUUUCCAUAAUUAGUGAGUAUGUCUGACAAAUCAUUUUUCUGUUAAUUAUUUUUACCAAUAACAUUAUGAAUGUAGCAGAACUUUUGUAGUUUCUCAACAAGCUCCAGUAUACUACAUUGGUGCUGCAAUGAAGAGAAUGAAAAUAAAGGAACAAAAAACCAUAGGCAAUAUUAAGUUAAAGUUUGAAGAAUAUUACGUCUGCUAAGGACAGUAUUCUUUUGAUACAAUGCGUUUGAAUUUUAAAUACCGAAACUGAAGUGAUCGUUGAAGUUCGGCUAGAAAUAAUUGUGAGAUUUUUUGUGAAAGAUUCGUCUGCAGUAAAACUACAGAAUAUAAAGAAACAGCAUCAUUGUAUUCUGGAUAUAGACACUUUUUACUUUUUUAUUUCAAGUAAAAAUGCGCUGAGAAAGAUUAUUACGUCUUCCUUGAUAACAAAGGUAUUUUUGUAUUUGCUCUUGGAUCCUGCACUGAAAGUCUAAACUUCAGUGAUAACAUCAAUUCUUCCAUGUUUGCCAGUUCGGUGGAUAUGAAGUGGCAGUUCAUGAAUGCAAUUAUUUAUCAACACGAUUUACAGAGACAUGCUUCAGAGGAAAAUUUUAACUGAGUUGUUGUCAUGAACUGAAUUCAUAGCUGACUGUAAAAAAGAAUUUUGAAAAAAUGUAAUGAAUUUUUUUGGCACUGUUCAGUACAAUGAUACAGAUCAGCAAUAAACAAGGUGGAAGAAAUUACAAUAAGUGGAUGAUGUUACAAUAUAAUAACAUGUUCUCUUACUGCAAAGAUCUGCAUGUCACUUCAGUGUCACAGUUCCGUAUGUACAGCGUCGUAAGGAACAGGAGAUGUUAGAGUGAAGAGUGAGCAUGUGUCAACAGUAUCAAAGAGCAUGAAAUCAAAACUUGUUGCUGUACGUAGUGAAACACCAAUACGGCUGUUGCAUGAGUAUUCGCCUUUCGAAGCUCUUCGAGUGUGGAAGAUGAAGUUUACAUAUCCUCUCAUCUUGACGCAGCGAUGUUUCUCAACACGCCACCUGGCCGUAAGCUUCGAGUGCGCAGGAGGAGCUGCGCUCGAUGGCGAUCCGCGAGGCGGCGCGCAUGUACCUGCACCACCCGUCGUCGUACUACCUGUCUGCGGGCCCG